UAGACACACGCGCGCACGCCCCGCUCGCGAUAAAUAAACACCAGCGUGCUCUGCGUUUGUUGUUUUGGUUUGUUGCAGUAAAAGAACAAAGCAAUAUUGCCCCAGAAUGCACAGUGCUUGGCAAUCCAGCAGGUCACACAAUCCCGUUCAUUAGCCUCCUGCUCUAGUGACCCGCAGGAGGCCAGCAGAUUACGGCUACGCAGCUCUGCUCACUGCGAUUUCCUGCUACAUGCCAAGUCAACAGAUGCCUAAGGAGACUAGCGGAUUUUACACGCAAGACCCAGACUGAGCCAGAGAGCAGAACCUUCCAGCAAGAGCUCAGGCUGAAAGUUGAUCACAAUUAGGAAAUCCUGGACCACCCACUGGAGCUGAUGGGAAGGUGCCACUUUAAAAAUAGAGUUGUGUGUCGGGCCGGGAACAAAGAACAGUUGCUGAGUACAGCAGAAAAGAGUGAUGGCCUUUCAUUGACACGUGAUAACAUACGCUAAAAAAAAUAACAUACCAUUGCCAUGUUUUUGGACGAGGUACUAUGUCAUUAACAAAUGUCAUUUGUCAUUUUGGACAUGUCAUUUGUCAUUUUUUACUAUGUACAUGUACCAUGGUUUUUGGAUAGUAAUAGUGUGGUAUUUUUUUAACUCAUUAACAAAAACAUAUAACAUUAUCAUGAUAUUUCUAACGAUACUGUUGUAUUUUGGACAUUGUACCAUGGCAAUCUGUUACAGAAAGUACUGUGGUGGUACUAUGGUACAUUUAUGGUAUCACAUGGUACUUUAAAAUAUAGCAUGGUCCUGAAAAUCAGGUAUUAUGUUACACUAUAAUACAUCCAUGAUUCAUAUCCAAACUACAAUGAUAGUACCAUGUCUAAAAUACUAUGGUAAUACAAUGGUGCAUGUCCAAUUCCAAGGUAAUACCAUGGUACAUGUCUAAAAUACCUGAACAUUUCCAAAAUUCCAUGAUGUACCAUGGAGUCACAUCCAAAAUACUAUGGUACAUGUCUAAAAUACCUGAACAUUUCCAAAAUUCCCUGGAAUCACAUCCAAAAUACCAUGGUACAUGUCUAAAAUACCAGUGCAUUUCCAAAAUUCCAUGAUGUACCAUGGAGUCACAUCCAAAAUACUAUGGUACAUGUCUAAAAUACCUGAACAUUUACAAAAUUCCCUGGAAUCACAUCCAAAAUACCAUGGUACAUGUCUAAAAUACCAGUACAUUUCCAAAAUUCCAUGAUGUACCAUGGAGUCACAUCCAAAAUACUAUGGUACAUGUCUAAAAUACCUGAACAUUUACAAAAUUCCCUGGAAUCACAUCCAAAAUACCAUGGUACAUGUCUAAAAUACCAGUACAUUUCCAAAAUUCCAUGAUGUACCAUGGAGUCACAUCCAAAAUACUAUGGUACAUGUCUAAAAUACCUGAACAUU